AUUGAACGCUGGCGGCAGGCCUAACACAUGCAAGUCGAACGAGUGGCGGACGGGUGUGUAAUGUCUGGGAAACUGCCUGAUGGAGGGGGAUAACUACUGGAAACGUUAGCUAAUACCGCAUACCUUCAGAUGUGCCCGGAUGGGAGUAGCUUGUGGGUGGGGUAACGGCUCACCAAGGCGACGAUCCCUAGCUGGUCUGAGAGGAUGAGCAGCACAACGGGAACUGAGACACGGCCAAGAGUCGUACGGGGGUCGGCAGGGGGGAAGAUUGCUCAGUGGGCGCAGGCCUGAUGAAGACCUGCCGGGUGGAGGAGGAGGGCCUUCGGGUUGAAAAGUAUUUUCGGCGGGAAGGCGUUCCCUGCAGAAGAAGCACCGGCUAACUCCGUGCCAGCAGCCGCGGUAAUUC
rnacentral:rRNA from 1 species